AAAUACCCUUGGGUUAUGUCAGGUGACGUGGCAUUCCUUGCUCAGGUUAGUGACUGAAGACAUUGGAAAUCAUUCGCGCAACUAUAGCGAUUUUUGCAACGUAUAACAGUUGGAAUAAGGGUAUAUGGCGCAUAGAGGAUACAUUGACAACACUUUUAUAUAAAUUUCUGCAAUUGGAUUUGCCAAUUUAUCCUUUUGUCCUUGGCUACAUUGCCUUCAGCUGAAGUAAUUAUCGAUUUGCUGAACAUAUAUAUAUUACUAGCAGCACUUGCAAAUCCUGUGGCCUAAGAUGUCAUCAGAAAAACAGUCAAGUGGAAACCCCAGUUCUUAAUAGACUCUCAAGCUCAAGUGGA